AUGAGCUCUAUAAGUAACUUGGAGGUGUCUCAUCCAGAGGGAAUGGAAAAGAGCUACAUAAAUAUUGCAAUUCAAAAAAGAAAAAAGAUUUACCAAGAGAGACAAGAUGUGAAUAUAACUGCAUAUAUAAAAGUUAUACUACUGGAAACCAGUAUACUGGAAAAUGGAAAAAAGAUUUGGUACCUGCAUACCUAAGAACAUAACUAAUGGAACAAGAUGUCAUAUUCUCCACUAGCUGAAGUUUCCAUGUGAUCUUCAACAGUAGCCCCACACAGAGUGCACCAGUGUCGUCCAGCAGCUCCCACUGGCCCAGAGCAGCAAACCGCGGCCACGGGGAGCAGCGAUCAGCCGAACCUGCGGACGUGGCAGGUAAACAAACCGGCCCAGCGCGUUAGGGGCUUUCCCUGCACAAGCGGCGGAACAAGUUUGGGAACCACUGGUAUAGUGGACUGACCUCUCAUCUCACCCUUAAAGUGGCUCCUCCCAGUCAGACUCAAGACACAUUGGCAAGGAAUUCUGGGGAGAGGGGCCUUCACCAGCGAGCAUGCCCAGUGCCACUACACACAUACACAGAUUAGACAGGCAAACAGAAGCAGGUGGGUGAGGAGGAAGAAAGCUUUAUUCAUACAAGUAUCUGCAACAGCAGCAGAGAGGAAAGAAACCUUGCACGGUGCUUUCUUUACCCUCGUGUGUCGUCGUCCCCGGAUCUUCUGCUCCCAGUACCAGCCCUGCCUCUAGGACUGAGCCCCUCCUACCCAGCCCAUAGGAGUUUUUUUAAGCGCAAGAUCACUUUCUGAAUUUAAGUGCAACCCAAGAUCUACCCUGCCCCUUCCCUGAGGCCUUGCCCUGCUCACUCCAUCCCCCCUCCCCCCAUCGCUUGUUCUCUCCAACCCUCACUCACAGUUUCACCGAGCUGGGGAAGGGGGUACUGGAGGGGGUGCGGGCUUUGGAGUGUGGAGGGGGCUCCGGGCUGAGCCUGGGCAGGGGUACAGGAGGGGAUGAGUGUGAAAGCUCUGGGACAGACUUUGGGUGCAGGA